UAAUGUAGAUUUUUGUUUGGA
rnacentral:piRNA from 1 species